AUUGAACGCUGGCGGCAUGCCUUACACAUGCAAGUCGAACGGCAGCACGGACUUCGGUCUGGUGGCGAGUGGCGAACGGGUGAGUAACAUAUCGGAACAUACCCUAGAGUGGGGGAUAACGUAGCGAAAGUUACGCUAAUACCGCAUACGAUCUAAGGAUGAAAGUGGGGGGAUCUUCGGACCUCAUGCUCAUGGAGUGGCCGAUAUCUGAUUAGCUAGUUGGUGAGGUAAAGGCUCACCAAGGCGACGAUCAGUAGCUGGUUUGGAGAGAACGACCAGCCACACUGGAACUGAGACACGGUCCAGACUCCUACGGGAGGCAGCAGUGGGGAAUUUUGGACAAUGGGGGCAACCCUGAUCCAGCAAUGCCGCGUGAGUGAAGAAGGCC
rnacentral:rRNA from 1 species